rnacentral:rRNA from 1 species
GAUGAACACUAGCGGCAGGCCUAAUACAUGCAAGUCGAACGGUGUAGCAAUACACAGUGGCGCACGGGUGCGUAACACGUAUGCAACCUACCUUACAUUGGGGGAUAGCCUUUCGAAAGGGAGAUUAAUACCGCAUAAGACAGUAACUAGGCAUCUAGUAGCUGUUAAAGAUUUAUCGAUGUAAGCUGGGCAUGCGUCCAAUUAGUUAGUUGGCGAGGUAGUGGCUCACCAAGACGAUGAUUGGUAGGGGAACUGAGAGGUCAAUCCCCCACACUGGCACUGAGAUACGGGCCAGACUCCUACGGGAGGCAGCAGUAGGGAAUAUUGGGCAAUGGGCGCAAGCCUGACCCAGCCAUGCCGCGUGCAGGAAGAAGGCGUUAUGCGUUGUAAACUGCUUUUAUACAGGAAGAAACGACCCUUGCGAGGGGCAUUGACGGUACUGUAUGAAUAAGCACCGGCUAACUCCGUGCCAGCAGCCGCCGUAAAAC